CAGGUGGUAUCAAUUUGAACCACACUGCGGAUAUUAAUUUAUAAUAUUAAUUUAUAAAAUGUUGAAAAAAUGUUUUUUGAAUAUUUUCUGCUUUGAUCCGGAAAGCGGACAGAGACAGGGUG
rfam:Clostridium thermocellum ATCC 27405, complete genome.